UAAAUGUAAGUUUUUAUAAAGGGAGCAAAAGGGUGAAGAUGUACGGAAGAUUCAAAAGAGUUGUUAAACAAGUAUCAGAAGACAGAAUGACCAAGGUGAUGCAGAAAACAACUAAAGCCCAGAAAUUUUCAGUAUAAGUUUCAGGAGGAAACACAGGUCAGCAGGAGUUGCAGGAGUUUACAGGAGUUACAGGAGUGAGCUGGUUGGGAACAACUCACUUAUUUCUUUAUCGUUCCAAGCACUUGCCACCACAAAGAUCCAGAGAGCACACAUUUUGAUAGAGCACAAAAACAGUAAAUACAAGGCAUACAGACUACAGAACAGAAAGAUGUGGUGGAAAAGAUGAUGCAAGAAUUAAUUAAUGCUGGUGCAUAGAGAGGCCAUUUAUAUUAUGGUGGACAGGCUAAGCAAGUAUUUUUCACAUUUUAUUCCUCUAUCUCACCCAUUUUUCAGCUGCAAAAGUGGCUCAAAUUUUCUAUGGAGACACAUUUCAAACUGCAUGGAAUGCCAAUAAUAUCAGAGACAAUUUCUUUAAGUGCAUUUGUGCAGGAGUUCUUCCCAUUACAACGGGUUAGCCUGCAAUAUUCAACAUAAUAUCAUCCUCAUAGAUGGUGAUACAGAGGUGAUGAACAGAGAAACAAACUUGACAUGUAAGUGUCAUGAAGAACCAACUAUUCUGAUGGUUAUACACCUCCUAUGCAUCUUCAAUGUUUCAAAUUUGAUCUGAAAAUUGCAGGAUUGGAAGCAUAUAUUGCUUGGGAGAAAAGAAAAUCUCGGGAAGCUAAAAUUUCAUUUGUUAAGACGCAAAAAAGGAUGACACAAAUAGCAAACGAACACCAGACGUACUGAACCUAUGAAGCCGAAGGCAGUUUAUCUUCAGUUUCAACUGCAUAGACAACAUAAAGUGGUCCAACACAACAAUCAAAAGUUAGACACCAUAUGCAAAGGACCCUUCAGAGUGGUUCAAAAGAUUGGCAGAGUUAGCUACAAAUUACAGUCGCCAGUACGAUAAAGACCCACCCAAUUUUUAAUGUCAAAAUUGAUGACAGCACUAGAAGGAUUGCAGCUACAGAACACACCCACACAGCAGCACGAAGACAACCCUCAACCCCAGCAGAUUCUGGAUAGAAGAUUAGAGAAAAAACAGAACAGAUGACUAACAGAAUUACUCAUCCAAUGGCAAGGAGCAAGCCCUAUGAAGCAACAUGGAAAGAUAUCACUGAUUUUCAGGCAAAGUUUCCCACAUUUUUUCCUUAAGGACAAGGGAUUUUAAGGGGAUUAAUAUAAUAGAGAAUACAACGCAGUGCAAAUGGGCGGGAACAUACAGAAGGUUAAUUGUACGGUUAGUCACAAACCGGAUAAUAAAUACCUGUAUCAUGUUUUGAAACGCAUUUGGAAAUAAUCAAUGAACUCUACCACUCCGUCUACAUGACUAUCUCCCACCAUCUAUAUCUCUAAUAUCAAAUUUUCCACUCGCAACUUCUUUCCAGAAGCCAAACAUAAUCAAAACUUAAAUGCAGUCGAAAUUAAAGCUCANNNNNNNNNNNNNNNNNNNNNNNNNNNNNNNNNNNNNNNNNNUCGAGUACAUGAAGAAUUACAGACCAGGAAGGUGAGGUUUUUCCGAUGUGUGAUCGGACGGCGCGGAUCGGAGGGAGCACGGCCGGGUGAAGAAGCAGGAGCACCGGAUAAACACUGCCAUUUUAGCUCAGGAUAAACACCGGUGUAUGUUUGAAUGUUUCAGUGUGCUGGGGUUAUAAACGAUGGAUGUACCAAAUUACUGAAGUAGCCUCCUCUUUUCACGAAAUAACACCAAUGCCAUCGUGUUGUGGAAUUUUAG
rnacentral:lncRNA from 1 species